rnacentral:rRNA from 1 species
GUUUGAUCCUGGCUCAGGACGAACGCUGGCGGCGUGCUUAACACAUGCAAGUCGAACGGUAAGGCCCUUUCGGGGGUACACGAGUGGCGAACGGGUGAGUAACACGUGAGUAACCUGCCCACUUCCUCGGGAUAAUGCUAGGAAACUGGUGCUAAUACCGGAUAUGAGCUCCUGCCGCAUGGUGGGGGUUGGAAAGUGUUUGUGGUGGUGGAUGGACUCGCGGCCUAUCAGCUUGUUGGUGAGGUAGUGGCUCACCAAGGCGGUGACGGGUAGCCGGCCUGAGAGGGUGACCGGCCACAUUGGGACUGAGAUACGGCCCAGACUCCUACGGGAGGCAGCAGUGGGGAAUAUUGCACAAUGGGCGGAAGCCUGAUGCAGCAACGCCGCGUGCGGGAUGACGGCCUUCGGGUUGUAAACCGCUUUCACCAGGGGCGAAGGCAUCCUUUUGGGGUGUUGACGGUACCUGGAGAAGAAGCACCGGCUAACUACGUGCCAGCAGCCGCGGUGAUACGUAGGGUGCGAGCGUUGUCCGGAUUUAUUGGGCGUAAAGGGCUCGUAGGCGGUUGAUCGCGUCGGAAGUGAAAACUUGGGGCUUAACCCUGAGCGUGCUUUCGAUACGGGUUGACUUGAGGAAGGUAGGGGAGAAUGGAAUUCCUGGUGGAGCGGUGGAAUGCGCAGAUAUCAGGAGGAACACCAGUGGCGAAGGCGGUUCUCUGGACCUUUCCUGACGCUGAGGAGCGAAAGCGUGGGGAGCAAACAGGCUUAGAUACCCUGGUAGUCCACGCUGUAAACGGUGGGUACUAGGUGUGGGGUCCAUUCCACGGAUUCCGUGCCGUAGCUAACGCAUUAAGUACCCCGCCUGGGGAGUACGGCCGCAAGGCUAAAACUCAAAGGAAUUGACGGGGCCUCGCACAAGCGGCGGAGCAUGCGGAUUAAUUCGAUGCAACGCGAAGAACCUUUACCUGGUUUGACAUGGAUUGGUAACGGUC